rnacentral:rRNA from 1 species
AACGAACGCUGGCGGCAUGCCUAACACAUGCAAGUCGAACGAGACCUUCGGGUCUAGUGGCGCACGGGUUCGUAACGCGUGGGAACCUGCCCUUAGGUUCGGAAUAACUCCCCGACAGGGGUGCUAAUACCGGAUAAUGUCUUCGGACCAAAGAUUUAUCGCCUUUGGAUGGGCCCGCGUUGGAUUAGCUCGUUGGUAGGGUAAAAGCCUACCAAGGCGACGAUCCAUAGCUGGUCUGAGAGGAUGAUCAGCCACACUGGGACUGAGACACGGCCCAGACUCCUACGGGAGGCAGCAGUGGGGAAUAUUGGACCACGGCGGAAAGCCUGAUCCAGCAAUGCCGCGUGAGUGAUGAAGGCCUUAGGGUUGUAAAGCUCUUUUAACCGGGAUGAUAAUGACAGUACCGGGAGAAUAAGCUCCGGCUAACUCCGUG